GGGCAUUUGGUCUAGUGGUAUGAUUCUCGCUUAGGGUGCGAUAGGUCCCGAGUACAAUUCUCGGAAUUCCCC
rnacentral:tRNA from 2 species